GAGCAAUAACAGGUCUGUGAUGCCCUUAGAUGUCCAGGGCUGCACGCGCGCUACACUGGAGGAAUCAGCGUGCUUUAACCAUCUCCGAAAGGAGCUGGUAACCCCUUGAAAAUCCUCCGUGAUCGGGAUCGGGGAUUGCAAUUAUUCCCCUUGAACGAGGAAUUCCUAGUAAGUGUGAGUCAUCAGCUCACGUUGAUUACGUCCCUGCCCUUUGUACACACCGCCCGUCGCUGCCCGGGACUGAGCCGUUUCGAGAAAAGCGGGGACUGCUGUUUCGAUGCCUUUCGGGGUGGAGAUUCUUUGGUGGGAACCGCCUUUAUCGCAGUGGCUUGAACCGGGCAAAAGUCGUAACAAGGUUUCCGUAGGUGAACCUGCGGAAGGAUCAUUAUCGAGCUUCUAAAAAGCCUCAUACUGUGCAUAAGAACCAUUUGCACACAAUUGAGCCGCGUAGUGUAUUGCACUUGAAAGUCGCUUGCUGAAUUCCUUGGCUUGCAAUGGCUAGCAAUGCACGUUUUCGCGAUUGUGUCCUUGGGUGGUAUGUUCGGCAAGUUGUGGCAUACCGCUUGCGCCCAAGAACGCGGAAUCUGUAUCAACGGUGUCAAAGUUGGCGUCUAAUCCCCGUUGAGCUACCGCCCGACCGUCGGUAGCAGUGAAGAACGGGGAGGACAGUUCCUUGUGAAGCUUUCAAGCUUCACACGUUGAGCAGACUUAAUAAGCGUCCAGCAAGUGCGCUGCCAACAAUUUUUUUUUCAAUACAAUGUGUGCUAUUAAAAGUCAAGCAGAUGCUUAAUGAAUAUGUGUAAUCUGCUGCAAAAUUUAGAUAUAUCACUCUUAGCGGUGGAUCACUCGGCUCGUGGGUCGAUGAAGAACGCAGCUAGCUGCGAUAACUAGUGCGAAUUGCAGACACAUUGAGCACUAAGAUUUCGAACGCACAUUGCGCCAUCGGGUUCAUUCCCGAUGGCACGUCUGGCUGAGGGUCGAAUUUGAACUACCUGACGGUGUCUUUUCCUUCUGAAAUGGAUUCCGUGCACCAAAAGUGCCGACGUUGGACUACUUGAUGGUUUCUGUAUGACUCUAGUCAUUCGGAUCGGUGAGCAUCAAGUACUCUGGCUGGUUGCAGUUUUCGAUUGUGCUUCAUACUUCUUCGCAACGUCAUUGCUAGAUGACGAGGAGAAGCACACAAAUUCAUGCACACAAAUUUCAGUGCACUGGCUGACGUGCAGCUCCUAAUGUUUACACAUACUCGCAACCUAGAGUUGUUGUUAGGGGUGUAUGGUUUGUGUGCAAGAAUUGCAUUUUGUAUUUUGACCUCAGCUCAGUCGUGAUUACCCGCUGAAUUUAAGCAUAUAACUAAGCGGAGGAAAAGAAACUAACGAGGACUCCCCUAGUAACUGCGAGUGAACGGGGAAGAGCCCAGCGCUGAAUCCAUUGGCCACUGGCCAUAUGGAAUUGUAGCGUAUAGGUGUGGCUAUUCGAUUGUUUCGUUCACCCAAAGUCCCCUUGAGCGGGGCUACAGUCCAAAGAAGGUGCUAGACCUGUACGGGUGGUGAAGCAGCCGAUGGGUUGCUCCUUGGAGUCGGGUUGCCUGAGAUCGCAGCCCAAAGAGGGUGGUAAACCUCAUCUAAGGCUACAUAUGACCACGAGACCGAUAGCAAACAAGUACCGUGAGGGAAAGUUGCAAAGAACUUUGAAGAGAGAGUUCAAGAGGGCGUGAAACCGCUGAGAAGGAAACGGAUAGAGUUGACGAAAUUCGAUGGCAUUCAGCCAGUUAACUUAGCGGCGUUGCGGUUUCGAGCCUCGAUGAGGGCGAAAACGUGACUAACUGUUGAGUGUUUGCGACUGGUGUAUUUGCCGUCGAUAUGCGCUGAGAAUCUCGCUGCCGUGCGCUAGUACCCGUUGUGCAGAGGACCACACCUUCCGGGUGUGGAACCCUGCAUAGGUUGAGGCGUGUCGGAAGCGAAGCUUGUUGAACUGACUCCGCUAUUGUGCGACGGUUGUCAUGUGGUCAGCGUGGCUAUUGGGCGGUCGCGUGCGACUUGCCUAUAGUUAUCGCUGGUCCGUGAUAAUGCAGUUGCGUUGAGGCUAGUCUCUCGGUGUGAAAGUUGACCACCUAUCCGACCCGUCUUGAAACACGGACCAAGGAGUCUAGCAUAUGCGCGAGUCAUUGGGUGGAAAACCUAAAGGCGUAAUGAAAGUAAAGGUCAUCUCGAUGUGACCGAUAUGGGAUCCGUGUGGCUUCGUGCUUCAUGGCGCACCAUAGCCCCGUCCUCGUUGCUUGCAAUAGGGCGGAGGAAGAGCGCAUACGCUGGGACCC
rnacentral:rRNA from 1 species